GGUACUCUUAUUCCCCAUGGACUUUACAGUGUUUCCUAGUCUCAGUGCAGUGGGCAGCUGGGAGGAGGUACUCUUAUUCCCCAUGGACUUUACAGUGUUUCCUAGUCUCAGUGCAGUGGGCAGCUGGGAGGAGGUACUCUUAUUCCCCAUGGACUUUACAGUGUUUCCUAGUCUCAGUGCAGUGGGCAGCUGGGAGGAGGUACUCUUAUUCCCCAUGGACUUUACAGUGUUUCCUAGUCUCAGUGCAGUGGGCAGCUGGGAGGAGGUACUCUUAUUCCCCAUGGACUUUACAGUGUUUCCUAGUCUCAGUGCAGUGGGCAGCUGGGAGGAGGUACUCUUAUUCCCCAUGGACUUUACAGUGUCCCAAAA